UAAGUUGGUAGUGAAAGCGUUCGGCUCAACCGAAUAUCCAUUACCAAAACUGCGAAGCUAGAGGAUGAGAGAGGUUAUUGGAAUUCCUAGUGUAGGAGUGAAAUCCGUAGAUAUUAGGAGGAACACCGAUGGCGUAGGCAGAUAACUGGCUCAUUCCUGACACUAAGGCACGAAAGCGUGGGUAGCAAACGGGAUUAGAUACCCCGGUAGUCCACGCCGUAAACGAUGGAUGCUA
rnacentral:rRNA from 1 species